UCUGGCCAAGCGCUCACCAUUCUGCAGAAUAAGGACCAGAACUUUACAAAGGUAAACUGUCUGUUCUUUUACUAUUACAGGUGAGUUGAACCUGCCUGUGGGUGCGGUGGGGAUAUUCCUGGGAGGUCUACUGAUGAAGAGGUAUAAGCUUGGCGUUGUGUCUGGAGCCCAGAUGUCUUUCGUCAUCUCCUUCAUGGCCUACCUCCUCCUCCCUCUGCAGUCUGGCACUAAGUGUGACAACGUUCAGGUGGCUGGUCUGACCCUGUCCUACAACGGGUCCCCUGGUUUACGAUGGCAGCCUGUUGUCAGAGUGUAACAGAGACUGCUUCUGCUUGGCUGGGGAGUGGGACCCUGUGUGUUCAGACAACGGCAUCACCUACACCUCCCCCUGCCUCGCAGGCUGCUCCAGCUCUACAGGUUAUGGCAAGAACACGGUACCAAUACUAUUAAUGUACUGAGUGUACAAAACAUUCACAGGGAUGCUGGCCCAUGUUGACUCCAAUGGCUCCCACAGUUCUGUCAAGUUGGCUUGUCUUUUGUCUCUCGUCUUUUGAGUGGUGGAUCAUUCUUGAUACACACGGAAAUCUAUUGAGCGUAUAAAACCCAGCAGCGUUACAGUUCUUGACACAAACUGGUACCACUGGCACCUACUAACAUGCCCCGUUGAAAGGCACGUAAAUAUUUUGUCUUGCCCAUUCACCCUCUGAAUGGCACACACACACAAUCCAUGUCUCAAUUGUCUCAAGCUUUACAAUAUAUUUUUAAACCUGUCUCCUCCUCUUUAUCUACACUGAUUUAAGUGUAUUUAACUAGUGACAUCCAUAAGGGAUUAUAUCUUUAACCUGGAUUCACCUGGUCAGCAUAUGUCAUGGAAAGAGCAGGUGUUCUUAAUGUUUUAUACACUCAGUGUAACUCAUGGCACUGACACUUACCACUGCAUAUACAUUCAGAGAGUCUAAUCUAGAGUCGGCUUUCUAUUUCACAACAAAGCCUCCUUCACUCACGCCGCCAAACUUACCCUAGUAAAACUGAUUAUCCUAUGAGAACUUGUCCUCAACUAGCCUACCUGGUUAAAUAAAGGUCAAAUAAAAAAAUCUGCCAUGCUGACCCUCAACACGGGGACCCCUCAGGGGUGCCUGCUUAGUCCCUUCCUGUACUCCAUGUUUACCUGUUGCUCCAACACCAUCAUUAAGUUUGCCAAUGACACGAAUGUGGUAGGGCCUGAUCACCAACCAUGACAGCCUAUAGGGAGGAAGUCAGAGACUUCAAAGAGAGUUUGGCAUUUUUCCUGGAGGGCCAAAAUGUAUAGUAAUCUUUGGCCAAACCAGGCACACUAGAGUUUAUGGAGCGAUAUGAUGUUGAAUCUGAAAUUCAGUUUAUGUUGGCACUAAUAUCACUCCAUAACAUUCUAGCUAUGUCUUGGUUAAUGCCUGGUUGGAAAAAAUGAAAAAGACUGUAGCUCCUAAAGACAUGAUGGGCCACCACUUGUGUACUGUAGAAGCACUAUAUGGUCCUGUAGCCUACUUUGUCACAUGUAAACAAGUUUAGGAUGCCAAAUGUUACCAAACAUCCUACGCUUCCACUAGUCCCAGUCAAACUUAUCUUGACCUUUAUCAACCCUACUGCAUAUGCCCUUUAGCUUUCAUUUCAAUUUCAUUUUAUUGUACUUUGUUUGGGACGGCACAAGACACUUUAAAAAUAAAAUUGUGUAUAUUUUUGGUCUAGUGUUCAAUUUUCUUCUCUAUUGCUCAAUACUGUAUGCUAUGCGCACACAGUUGUCUGUUGUAGAUCUGAAACCACUGACAGAGUAGGGGAGUAUCUGUGGCCACAUGAUAAAACACUAGUCUGGCAUCAGUAGUCUGAAAAUAGGAGGAAACCAGUUGGACAUGUACAUCAACAUAUGG
rnacentral:lncRNA from 13 species